CUACGGGCUGCUCCAGGCGCGAAACCUUUACAAUGCACGCAAGUGUGAUAAGGGGAUACCCAGUGCUUACGGUUAUGCUGUAGGCUUUUGUGUAGUCUAGAAAGCUCCACGAAUAAGUGGUGGGUAAGACUGGUGCCAGCCGCCGCGGUAACACCAGCGCCACGAGUGGUCAUCGCGAUUAUUGGGCCUAAAGCGUUCGUAGCCGGUUUGGUAAAUCUCUUGUGAAAUUGUCCUGCUUAACGGGACAGCGUGCAGGAGACACUGUCAGACUCGAGACCGGGAGGGGUCAGAGGUAUUCUAUGGGGACUGGUAAAAUGGGAUAAUCCAUAGAGGACCACCGAUGGCGAAGGCAUCUGACCAGAACGGAUCUGACGGUGAGGAACGAAAGCCAGGGGAGCGAACCGGAUUAGAUACCCUCGUAGUC
rnacentral:rRNA from 1 species